CCUGCAGCAGUCCAAACAUACAAAAGUCAAUAAAAUGUAAGCAAAUUGCAAACCACAAGCAAGCAAGUAGCAGGAAUGAUACAUAAAAAAAAAUACAGUAAGGUAGUACAAUGGCAUCCAACACAUUACAAAUCUCAAUUCAACUACAGUCAUUGACAAGGGCUCCCAAAGAUUAACCAGAAAGCUGGCCUAACAAGUUACAUUCUCAAUAAGACUAACCAAAAGCUACCCUAAUCAAUAGAUAAAAAAAUAUUAGCUAUACAGAGGAGCAAGGAAAAACAUAUUAUAGCACACACGAUCUUGCCUAACGCAGUUGAAGUGAAGAACUUCAAGACUGAAAAACAAAGGAAGGUAACAGGGGAAUAUGUAAUUGAAACUGAAACCAGUUGAACAUACAACCAAGAAUAACAAAAUGAUGAUAACGCAUACAGACUAAACCUUAUACUCCUCAACCUAGGAAAUUAUUUUUGCUAAACCUUAACAUGAUCGGGGACCAGUAUUAUUCAGUGAUAGUGUUACUUGCAAGUCCCACUACAAGUUUGUUUUACCAACGAGUAAUUCCAUAAUUGAACAUCGUCACAAUUUAGUCAAAUUUUAGAUCCCAAAAAAGCGAUAUACCAAAUAAUAAUAAACAAUAUAUAUCAAAUAUCUGUUAAUUUUGAAUGCCGAAAAACUGAUAAAAUCCUAUCCAAUUUUAAUUUUUAUCAAUUUUCUGGGAAAAAUAAAUUGAAUUGAGGAUGAAUACGCAAAAAAUCAUUAAGCAACUAUAUCUGUUCCACAACUUGUUCUAAUAACUUCAAUUCGAUCAAUCUAAACAAAACCCAUUAUUUCUAACCUAUUGGCCAAGAAAAACAUAGAAACAUUCAAUUAUAGCCAUGUAAAGACACAUAUGAACAUCAGAUCCGAAUAGCAAUUAAGUUAAAACACACAAAAUUCAAUCACAAAAAAAAAAAAUUCAUUUCGCUAGAAUCUCAAUUAUCCAGAAAUCCACCAAAAUAAUGAUUUAAAAAAAAAGGCAUGAAUGAAAACCUUGUUUAAAUGGUAUACAGAUUAGAAGUGCCUCAAGCAUUCCCCACAGACGCUAGAAUCACAAACAGAGAGAGAGAGAGAGA
rnacentral:misc_RNA from 1 species